rnacentral:rRNA from 1 species
AUUGAACGCUGGCGGCAGGCCUAACACAUGCAAGUCGAACGGUAACAGGAAGAAGCUUGCUUCUUUGCUGACGAGUGGCGGACGGGUGAGUAAUGUCUGGGAAACUGCCUGAUGGAGGGGGAUAACUACUGGAAACGCUAGCUAAUACCGCAUAACGUCGCAAGACCAAAGAGGGGGACCUUCGGGCCUCUUGCCAUCGGAUGUGCCCAGAUGGGAUUAGCUAGUAGGUGGGGUAACGGCUCACCUAGGCGACGAUCCCUAGCUGGUCUGAGAGGAUGACCAGCCACACUGGAACUGAGACACGGUCCAGACUCCUACGGGAGGCAGCAGUGGGGAAUAUUGCACAAUGGGCGCAAGCCUGAUGCAGCCAUGCCGCGUGUAUGAAGAAGGCCUUCGGGUUGUAAAGUACUUUCAGCGGGGAGGAAGGGAGUAAAGUUAAUACCUUUACUCAUUGACGUUACCCGCAGAAGAAGCACCGGCUAACUCCGUG